rnacentral:tRNA from 1 species
CCUGGUGGCUCAGACGGUAAAGCAUCUGCUUGCAAUGCAGGAGACCCGGGUUUGAUUCCUGGGUCAGGA